rnacentral:lncRNA from 1 species
CACAACUCUCCCCUGAUCCCCUUUUCUUCAGCAUAUACUCUAAACAUCACCACAAACACCUUAAAUCCUCCAUUAUGUCAAAAUCCUAGCCAUAUCCCUUGCAUUUCCUCUGCAGAUUGUCAACCAAAUAAAUAAAAGAAAACAAACAAACAAACUCCAUACACUAAUAUCUCCACCCUCUCGGCUCUCUCUCUGACGACGAAGACAAAAGAGGCCGGCUGACCACCACCCUAGGUGGCGGUGCUCGGCGGCUGGGGCGGCAGACGAUAGUCAGCGACACAACACCCCCCCCCCACACACACACACUUGUUUACCUUCUCUAAUUGAAACGGUCGACCACCACCAUCGUCUGGUGGCGGUGUGGCGACGAGGUGAAAGGGAGAUGGAGAGAGAGACGAUGGGAUAAGAGAGAGCGAGGAGAGAGAGAAGGUGGAGGGUUGAUGACGGUGGCAGGAAACCGGCGUCGAGUCGAUUUUCGAUGACCGGCAACGGUGGUUCUGUUGUCCGACGGGUUCCGUGACGAUGAUGAUUUAUUGAUGUUGAAGGUGUAAAGAUCUGCAGUUGAUAAUGAUGUUUUGAUCGGUCACAAGGCAGCGGGUUUCUUUUCUCAUAUUCAGCUUUGGAUUCGUGUUCCAGGUUCUGUGACGGUUCGAGUUUUGGUUCAGAUCUGGCUCAGAUUCGUGUUGGGUUCUUGGUUUGAGCAGGGUUAUAAUAUUCCAGAUCCAUGAUACGGCUCGGUUCAUACUGUCAGUUUGGUUUGGGUCUCAGUCUCGGUUCGGUCGACUCGGGUCAAACCGGGUCGACUCAGUCAACGCUGGUCAACAGAAGUCAACACAGUCAAAGCCACUCAAGACGGAUAACAGCAACCUCGGUCCGAGUCAGCUCAGUUUGGUGCGGGUCAAUGUCGAAUGUAGUUCAGUCAACUUGGUCAGAUUAGGGAGCGGUUCGGUUGACUCGGUCAAACCGAGUCAACUCGGUCAAACUCCGGUCAAAUGAGUCGCCACGAGGCUCGGAAUGCUUUAGUUGCACGCUAGCGAGUUCACAUUCGUGGGAUGACACUACGGAAUCACGUUAAGCUAGCUUUGCACAGGAUUGUCAAGGUUGAAUUUUCAAAGCUAUGGAACGGUUGGAAUAGGAGAACCCAUG